rnacentral:rRNA from 1 species
UACGUAGGGUGCGAGCGUUAAUCGGAAUUACUGGGCGUAAAGUGUGCGCAGGCGGCCGAGCAAGUCGAGUGUGAAAGCCCCGAGCUUAACUUGGGAACUGCGCUCGAAACUACUUGGCUAGAGUGUGGCAGAGGGAGGUGGAAUUCCACGUGUAGCGGUGAAAUGCGUAGAGAUGUGGAGGAACACCGAUGGCGAAGGCAGCCUCCUGGGCCAAAACUGACGCUCAUGCACGAAAGCGUGGGGAGCAAACAGG